rnacentral:rRNA from 1 species
GUGUCAGCCGCCGCGGUAACACGUAGGGGACGAGCGUUGUCCGGAAUUAUUGGGCGUAAAGCGCGCGUAGGCGGCCCGGAAAGUCGGUUGUGAAAUUCCAGGGCUCAACCCUGGGACUGCGUCCGAUACUUCCGGGCUGGAGGCAGGUAGGGGAGAUCGGAAUUCCUGGUGUAGCGGUGAAAUGCGCAGAUAUCAGGAGGAACACCGGUGGCGAAGGCGGAUCUCUGGGCCUUGCCUGACGCUGAGGCGCGAAAGCUAGGGGAGCGAACAGGAUUAGAAACCCUCGUAGUCC